CCUACGGGGUGCAGCAGUGAGGAAUAUUGGUCAAUGGGAGAGAUCCUGAACCAGCCAAGCCGCGUGAGGGAAGACGGCCCUAUGGGUUGUAAACCUCUUUUGUCGGAGCACAAAACCCGGGACGUGUCCCGGACUGCGUGUAUCCGAAGAAAAAGCAUCGGCUAACUCCGUGCCAGCAGCCGCGGUAAUACGGAGGAUGCGAGCGUUAUCCGGAUUUAUUGGGUUUAAAGGGUGCGUAGGUGGUCCGUUAAGUCAGCGGUAAAAGUGCGGGGCUCAACCCCGUCGAGCCGUUGAAACUGGCAGACUUGAGUUGGCGAGAAGUACGCGGAAUGCGCGGUGUAGCGGGGAAAUGCAUAGAUAUCGCGCAGAACUCCGAUUGCGAAGGCAGCGUACCGGCGCCAGACUGACGCUGAGGCACGAAAGCGUGGGGAUCGAACAGGAUUAGAUACCCCUGUAGUC
rnacentral:rRNA from 1 species